CGGCUCGUUCGGGUAGGCCGACAGGUCCAGCCUGUUGACGACGGGCAUCUUGGCCAGCUGCGACGGUUCCACCGUCACCGGUCGG
rnacentral:tRNA from 1 species